rnacentral:rRNA from 1 species
UACGAAGGGGGCUAGCGUUGUUCGGAAUUACUGGGCGUAAAGCGUGCGCAGGCGGCUUCUCAAGUCAGGGGUGAAAGCCCAGAGCUCAACUCUGGAAUUGCCUUUGAGACUGAGUGGCUUGAGUACGAGAGAGGUGAGUGGAAUUCCCAGUGUAGAGGUGAAAUUCGUAGAUAUUGGGAAGAACACCGGUGGCGAAGGCGGCGACCUGGUCCUUGACUGACGCUGAGGCGCGAAAGCGUGGGGAGCAAACAGG